CAUCUAGGCGGUCAAUCAAGUCGAAGGUGAAAACUUGUGGCUCAACCAUAAGCUUGCCUACGAAACUGAUUAACUAGAGUACUGGAGAGGUGGACGGAACUACACGAGUAGAGGUGAAAUUCGUAGAUAUGUGUAGGAAUGCCGAUGAUGAAGAUAGUUCACUGACAGAAACUGACGCUGAAGUGCGAAAGCUAGGGGAGCAAACA
rnacentral:rRNA from 1 species